rnacentral:rRNA from 1 species
UACGUAGGGGGCUAGCGUUGUCCGGAUUUAUUGGGCGUAAAGAGCGUGUAGGCGGCCAGGUAGGUCUGGUGUGAAAACUCGAGGCUUAACCUCGAGAUGUCAUCGGAAACCAUCUGGCUAGAGUCCGGAAGAGGAGAGUGGAAUUCCUGGUGUAGCGGUGAAAUGCGCAGAUAUCAGGAAGAACACCAAUGGCGAAAGCAGCUCUCUGGGACGGUACUGACGCUGAUACGCGAAAGCGUGGGGAGCGAACAGG